GUGUUCGCUUCGGCAGCACAUAUACUAAAAUUGGAACGAUACAGAGAAGAUUAGCAUGGGAUGACACGCAAAUUCGUGAAGCGUUCCAUAUUUUC
rnacentral:snRNA from 1 species